rnacentral:rRNA from 1 species
UGGGGAAUAUUGCACAAUGGGGAAACCCUGAUGCAGCGACGCCGCGUGAGUGAAGAAGUAUUUCGGUAUGUAAAGCUCUAUCAGCAGGGAAGAAAAUGACGGUACCUGACUAAGAAGCCCCGGCUAACUACGUGCCAGCAGCCGCGGUAAUACGUAGGGGGCAAGCGUUAUCCGGAUUUACUGGGUGUAAAGGGAGCGUAGACGGAUCGGCAAGUCUGAUGUGAAAGGCCGGGGACUCAACCCCGGGCACUCGCAUUGGAAACUGUUGAUCUUGAGUGCCGGAGGGGUAAGUGGAAUUCCUAGUGUAGCGGUGAAAUGCGUAGAUAUUAGGAGGAACACCAGUGGCGAAGGCGGCUUACUGGACGGUAACUGACGUUGAGGCUCGAAAGCGUGGGGAGCAAACAGGAUUAGAUACC